rnacentral:rRNA from 1 species
GACGAACGCUGGCGGCGUGCCUAAUACAUGCAAGUCGAGCGAAGUUUUUCUGGUGCUUGCACUAGAAAAACUUAGCGGCGAACGGGUGAGUAACACGUAAAGAACCUGCCUCAUAGACUGGGACAACUAUUGGAAACGAUAGCUAAUACCGGAUAACAGCAUUAACUGCAUGGUUGAUGUUUGAAAGUUGGUUAUGCUAACACUAUGAGAUGGCUUUGCGGUGCAUUAGCUAGUUGGUGGGGUAAAGGCCCACCAAGGCGACGAUGCAUAGCCGACCUGAGAGGGUGAUCGGCCACACUGGGACUGAGACACGGCCCAGACUCCUACGGGAGGCAGCAGUAGGGAAUCUUCCGCAAUGGGCGAAAGCCUGACGGAGCAACGCCGCGUGAGUGAAGAAGGAUUUCGGUUCGUAAAGCUCUGUUGUUAGGGAAGAAUGGAUAUGUAGUAACUAUACAUGUACGAAGAC